GCCCAGAUGGCGGAACUGGUAGACGCGCACGACUCAAACUCGUGUACCCUAGGUGUGCGGGUUCGAUUCCCGCUCUGGGCAC
rnacentral:tRNA from 1 species